AAACGACUCUCGGCAACGGAUAUCUCGGCUCUCGCAUCGAUGAAGAACGUAGCGAAAUGCGAUACUUGGUGUGAAUUGCAGGAUCCCGUGAACCAUCGAGUCUUUGAACGCAAGUUGCGCCCGAAGCCAUCCGGCCGAGGGCACGCCUGCCUGGGCGUCAC
rnacentral:rRNA from 4 species